rnacentral:rRNA from 1 species
GACGAACGCUGGCGGCGCGCUUAACACAUGCAAGUCGAGCGAGAACCAGGGCUUCGGCUCUGGGGAAAGCGGCGAACGGGUGAGUAACACGUGGGUGACCUGCCCUUAGCUCUGGGAUAAGCCUGGGAAACUGGGUCUAAUACCGGAUAUGACUCCAUGAUGCAUGUUGUGGGGUGGAAAGCCUUGUGCGGCUGGAGAUGGGCCCGCGGCCUAUCAGCUUGUUGGUGGGGNGAUGGCCUACCAAGGCGACGACGGGUAGCCGGCCUGAGAGGGCGACCGGCCACACUGGGACUGAGACACGGCCCAGACUCCUACGGGAGGCAGCAGUGGGGAAUCUUGCGCAAUGGGCGAAAGCCUGACGCAGCGACGCCGCGUGAGGGAUGACGGCCUGGUGUAAC